GUUUGAUCAUGGCUGAGGAUGAACGCUGGCGGCGUGCUUAACACAUGCAAGUCGAACGAUGAUCUCCAGCUUGCUGGGGGGAUUAGUGGCGAACGGGUGAGUAACACGUGAGUAACCUGCCCUUGACUCUGGGAUAAGCCUGGGAAACUGGGUCUAAUACCGGAUAUGACCAUCUGGCGCAUGUCAUGGUGGUGGAAAGCUUUUUUGUGGUUUUGGAUGGACUCGCGGCCUAUCAGCUUGUUGGUGGGGUAAUGGCCUACCAAGGCGACGACGGGUAGCCGGCCUGAGAGGGUGACCGGCCACACUGGGACUGAGACACGGCCCAGACUCCUACGGGAGGCAGCAGUGGGGAAUAUUGCACAAUGGGCGCAAGCCUGAUGCAGCGACGCCGCGUGAGGGAUGACGGCCUUCGGGUUGUAAACCUCUUUCAGUAGGGAAGAAGCGUAAGUGACGGUACCUGCAGAAGAAGCGCCGGCUAACUACGUGCCAGCAGCCGCGGUAAUACGUAGGGCGCAAGCGUUAUCCGGAAUUAUUGGGCGUAAAGAGCUCGUAGGCGGUUUGUCGCGUCUGCUGUGAAAGACCGGGGCUCAACUCCGGUUCUGCAGUGGGUACGGGCAGACUAGAGUGCAGUAGGGGAGACUGGAAUUCCUGGUGUAGCGGUGAAAUGCGCAGAUAUCANGAGGAACACCG
rnacentral:rRNA from 1 species